AUACGUAGGGGACGAGCGUUGUCCGGAAUUACUGGGCGUAAAGGGCGCGCAGGCGGAUAUUUAAGUCAGCUGUAAAAGGCAUGAGCUCAACUCAUGUAUGCGGUUGAAACUGGGUAUCUAGAGUGCUGGAGAGGUAGGCGGAAUUCCCGGUGUAGCGGGGAAAUGCGUAGAUAUCGGGAAGAACACCAGUGGCGAAGGCGGCUUACUGGCCAGCAACUGACGCUGAGGCGCGAAAGCCAGGGGAGCAAACGGGAUUAGAUACCCCGGUAGUCCUGGCCGUAAACGAUGAAUGCUAGGUGUGGGUGUCGAGAGGCAUCCGUGCCGGAGUUAACGCGAUAAGCAUUCCGCCUGGGGAGUACGAUCGCAAGAUUGAAACUCAAAGGAAUUGACGGGG
rnacentral:rRNA from 1 species